AGCAUAUCAAUAAGCGGAGGAAAAGAAACCAACAGGGAUUGCCUCAGUAACGGCGAGUGAAGCGGCAACAGCUCAAAUUUGAAAUCUGGCCUUAUAGGUCCGAGUUGUAAUUUGUAGAGGAUGUUUUGGGUACCGUUGCAGUUUAAAUUUCUUGGAACAGAAUGUCAGAGAGGGUGAGAGUCCCGUCUGGAACUGCGGUAGGGCCUAUGUAAAACUCCUUCGACGAGUCGAGUUGUUUGGGAAUGCAGCUCAAAAUGGGUGGUAAAUUUCAUCUAAAGCUAAAUAUUGGCCAGAGACCGAUAGCGCACAAGUAGAGUGAUCGAAAGAUGAAAAGCACUUUGAAAAGAGAGUUAAACAGUAUGUGAAAUUGUUGAAAGGGAAGCGCUUGCAACCAGACUUGAGUAUAGCGGUUCCCCCUUGCUUUUGCUUGGGCUACUCCGUUGUAUCCAGGCCAACAUCGGUUCUAGGAGUUGGUUAAAGACCUUAGGAAUGUAUCUACCCUCGGGUAGACUUAUAGCCUAGGGUGUCAUGCAACUUCCCGGGACCGAGGUACGCGCUUCGGCGAGGAUGU
rnacentral:rRNA from 1 species